GGUUGUGGCUCAGUGGUAAAGCACGUGCCUUGCACGUGUGAGGUACUGGGUUUGAGCCUCAGCACCA
rnacentral:tRNA from 1 species